rnacentral:tRNA from 1 species
GGUGAGAUGGCCGAGUGGUCUAAGGCGCUAGAUUUAGGUUCGUUAGAAUCAAACUCUAGUCUUCGGGCGUGGGUUCGAAUCCCACUCUCAUCA